AAAAUCCGUCGACUUUAUAAGUUGUGAGGGUUCAAGUCCCUUAUCCCCA
rnacentral:tRNA from 1 species